rnacentral:sRNA from 1 species
AGGGAUUGGCAAGCUUGCGUUCCCCAGCGACACAGGCCUCGAGGCUGUCUCUGACAAGUGUUCACAGGAGGUGGGGACGCCUCUGCGCGAGGAACGAGGAGCUACGGGCCUGGGCCCGGCUAUUGCCAUGGGCAGCGGCUGCCGCAUCGAAUGCAUAUUCUUCAGCGAGUUCCACCCCACGCUGGGACCCAAGAUCACCUAUCAGGUCCCUGAAGACUUCAUCUCCCGAGAGCUGUUUGACACAGUCCAAGUGUACAUCAUCACCAAGCCAGAGCUGCAGAACAAGCUUAUCACUGUGUGAGACCCUAGCUCGGGGUGAGCGGUGGGUGGCAGGGGUUGUCCCAGGAGGAGGAAGGGACAGGCUUGGGGGCCUGACUGUGUUCCAAUUAUCCAGCACAGCUAUGGAAAAGAAGCUGAUCGGCUGUCCUGUGUGCAUCGAACACAAGAAGUACAGCCGCAAUGCCCUCCUCUUCAACCUGGGCUUCGUGUGUGAUGCCCAGGCCAAGACCUGCGCCCUCGAGCCCAUCGUUAAAAAGCUGGCUGGCUAUCUGACCACACUAGAGCUAGAGAGCAGCUUCGUGUCCAUGGAGGAGAGCAAGCAGAAGUUGGUGCCCAUCAUGACCAUCUUGCUGGAGGAGCUAAAUGCCUCAGGCCGGUGCACUCUGCCCAUUGAUGAGUCCAACACCAUCCACUUGAAGGUGAUUGAGCAGCGGCCAGACCCUCCGGUGGCCCAGGAGUAUGAUGUACCUGUCUUUACCAAAGACAAGGAGGAUUUCUUCAAUUCACAGUGGGACCUCACUACACAACAAAUCCUGCCCUACAUUGAUGGGUUCCGCCACGUCCAGAAGAUUUCAGCAGAGGCAGAUGUGGAGCUCAACCUGGUGCGCAUUGCUAUCCAGAACCUGCUGUACUAUGGCGUUGUGACACUGGUGUCCAUCCUCCAGUACUCCAAUGUAUACUGCCCAACGCCCAAGGUCCAGGACCUGGUAGAUGACAAGUCCCUGCAGGAGGCAUGUCUAUCCUACGUGACCAAGCAAGGUAGUGGUGGGCUCUGAGGGAAGCCAUCUUGGGGAGGGCAGAGCCACAUGGUGAGCUGAUCCCUGGCACCCACAGGGCACAAGAGGGCCAGUCUCCGGGAUGUGUUCCAGCUAUACUGCAGCCUGAGCCCUGGCACUACCGUGCGAGACCUCAUUGGCCGCCACCCCCAGCAGCUGCAGCACGUUGAUGAACGGAAGCUGAUCCAGUUCGGGCUUAUGAAGAACCUCAUCAGGCGACUACAGAAGUAUCCUGUGCGGGUGACUCGGGAAGAGCAGAGCCACCCUGCCCGGCUUUAUACAGGCUGCCACAGCUAUGACGAGAUCUGCUGCAAGACAGGCAUGAGCUACCAUGAGCUGGAUGAGCGGCUUGAAAAUGACCCCAACAUCAUCAUCUGCUGGAAGUGAGGCUGGUAGUGGCUGGAUGGACACAUUGCUGUGGGUAGUCCCUCCUACCAGGAGGCUUGUCAUACUGUCUAGAGGUUGACUCUUAGUUCUGUAAAUAAAGACAUCCAUUUCAAACAGCCUUUAUUGAGUGCUGCUUCUGGGCCAGCCGUGGGAGACCCAGCAGUGAAUAAAAUAGCCACGAGCCGUGGGCUAGAUCGCCAUCUGGUGGGCAGGACCGACAAUCGACAAGUAAAAGUGCGGGUUAAUUACAAAAAAAAAAAAAA